UCCAGAGGUGGCAAGCGUUGUUCGGAAUUACUGGGCGUAAAGGGCGCGUAGGCGGCCAUCUAAGUCAGACGUGAAAUCCCCCGGCUUAACCUGGGAACUGCGUCUGAUACUGGACGGCUUGAGUAUGGGAGAGGGAUGUAGAAUUCCAGGUGUAGCGGUGAAAUGCGUAGAUAUCUGGAGGAAUACCGGUGGCGAAGGCGGCAUCCUGGACCAUUACUGACGCUGAGACGCGAAAGCGUGGGGAGCGAACAGG
rnacentral:rRNA from 1 species